ACUGAAAAAAGUAAAUAUCAGAUAAUAUUAAUGACAUGAGACGCAACAUCAGGUAAAAUACUGAAAAAAGUAAAUAUCAGAUAAUAUUAAUGACAUGAGAUGCAACAUCAGGUAAAAUACUGAAAAAAACAAACAAAUAUCAGAUAAUAUUAAUGACAUGAGACACAACAUCAGGUAAAAUACUGAAAAAAGUAAAUAUCAGAUAAUAUUAAUGACAUGAGACACAACAUCAGGUAAAAUACUGAAAAAAGUAAAUAUCAGAUAAUAUUAAUGACAUGAGACACAACAUCAGGGAAAAUACUGAAAAAAACAAACAAAUAUCAGAUAAUAUUAAUGACAUGAGACACAACAUCAGGUAAAAUACUGAAAAAAGUAAAUAUCAGAUAAUAUUAAUGACAUGAGACACAACAUCAGGUAAAAUACUGAAAAAAGUAAAUAUCAGAUAAUAUUAAUGACAUGAGACGCAACAUCAGGUAAAAUACUGAAAAAAGUAAAUAUCAGAUAAUAUUAAUGACAUGAGACGCAACAUCAGGUAAAAUACUGAAAAAAACAAACAAAUAUCAGAUAAUAUUAAUGGCAUGAGACACAACAUCAGGUAAAAUACUGAAAAAAACAAACAAAUAUCAGAUAAUAUUAAUGACAUGAGACACAACAUCAGGUAAAAUACUGAAAAAAACAAACAAAUAUCAGAUAAUAUUAAUGACAUGAGACACAACAUCAGGUAAAAUACUG